UGAACGGAUAUAUGAAAUAACUGUCUUAGUUAUAUUAUUAUUAACUUACUUAAUAGGUGAAAAUUCCUAUAAAUAAUACAGAAGGACGAUAAGACCCUUAGAAUUAUUAAAAUGAAUAAUCAAUAUAUUAUUCAUACUUUUUGUUGGGGCGACAUAUUAUCAAUUAACAUAAUGUAUAUAACCAAAAACACAAGUCUAAUUUACUUAGUAAGAUUUAAUUACCUGAGGGAUAACAGCAUAAUAUUAUUUUAUGUUUAUGACCUCGAUGUUGGACUAGGUAAGUUUUUAACUAACAGUUACAAACUAGUGUUCUGUUCGAACAAUCGACACCUACAUGAUCUGAGUUCAGACCG
rnacentral:rRNA from 1 species